CCACUUCCAACAUGCAAGCAGGCUGGGCAGACACGGGAAGCACUGCCUGCAGCAGCACCAGCUGAGCUGUGUGUGCCAGAGGAAGGAAUGCGGUGUCUGGAGGAGCAGCGGGAGGAGACCCUGCGUGACUCUGCGUGUUCUGCAGGGCUGUUCCUCACAGCCUGCCACUGACAGACGUUUUGGGGCACUGCAGAGCCUGUUGGUGCAGAGGAAUUAAAGCGG
rnacentral:lncRNA from 1 species